UCGUUUGUCAGCGGAAAGGAAGAUGUGUUAGCCUUACUACCGACUGGAUUUGGUAAAAGUCUGAUUUACCAACUCGCUCCGUUGGUUACUAAGGUAAUGGGGGUUAGCGAGACCCCGGUCGUUGCUGUGGUUUCGCCAUUAAUAGCAUUGGUGUAGGACCAAAUAAAGGACGCAGUCGACCUAGGAAUAUCUGCAACACAGCUGGGUCAAGACGAUGAAACGGCGAUUGAGAGAUGAUGCCGUUAUAAGAUUCUGUUUGGCAGUCCCGAGGCCUGGCUGAGCGCGAAGUGGGAGGACAUGCUAGCCACCGAUGUAUACAAGACCAACCUGAUCGGCGUAUACUAGUUGUCGAUGAAGUCCAUCUUACUUAUAUAAAUGGUAAGUGUUAUUUCUUGAUAUCAUUGUCCUUAUGUCUGUACCUACUGUGGUUGUCACAAUGUCACAUUAUGGGUUCAUUUUCGAUAUCAAUUUAAUGUUACAGUGAGUAAAGGCUUAAGUAGCACAGCUUAAGUCGUUUGGGUAGGGUGCGCAAAUCCAAAAACUCCUUGCAGUUGAAGAAGCUAGGGCUGCACGGGAUUCAGACGUAUAGCCCCAUGGGCUCCCCCUGAUUAUAUUUCACGUGUUCUUAUCAUAUGCAUGCACUCCCCCCUGAUUAUAUUUCACGUAUUCUUAUCAAAACAUGCCCAGGAUCUUCAUCGGGGAUAUAACUUGGGUGAGAGACAGAGAGAGAGCGUCCAUGCUUAACCUAACUACCCCCUAACUAGGCCCUAAGUGUAAUGUAAUGUUUUGCCUUUUGUAUGAAUAGGCACAGGUCAAGACACCAGUCUGUCUAAUUGACUGACACCUUUUGGUGCCCUGCCUGGACGGGUGUAAAAUAAGGUCAUCUGAUAAGUUAUAGGCCACAGCUCCUUCCUGUUACCCAUAUGCCUGAUUAAGAUCCAGGGUGAUCGAAAUAUUGCGUGUUUUAAUUAAUACAGUUUAUUUUUUGGAGCAUAUCCAGCAGUGUGCAGACUUGAGUAGCACAGCUCUCGGUUGUGUGCACAAGUAUCAUCAGCCUACCUGAGAAAAAUAUGUUUUUGCUACAUUUGUUAAGCAGGCCUAACUUCAGAAGGGCAAUCAUUUUCCACUGCAAAUGACUAACAUCUCUACACUUUACUUGUGGUUUUCUUUUCUCAAACAGGAGGAAGGCUGAGAAAGGACGGAAGGCUUUUAGGGAAAGCUUUGCGAGGUUGGGGAACUGAGAGCCAUCGUGAAACCAGAAACACCGGUACUGGCAUUGACUGUGUCUGCGGAAUUGCACUCAAGAGAAAUUGUCAGGAGACCGCUCCAACUCCAAAACCCAGUUGACAUCAUUGCCAGCCCCAAUCGACCCAACAUCAGACUCUCCAUAAGACGACUUUCGAGUGAGUCACUGGACUGUUUCGACUGGCUCGUGAAGGACUUGACAGAGAAAGGAGUGGAGAUGUCACCAGUCAAUAUAUACUGCCGGACAAUAAACAUGAAGGAGAAAACGAUGCUUAAAGAAAGUCUACAUGGCUGCUUUAGGAAAGCCCUGUGUGUACAUUUUGAGCCUCACGUGUCCAGUGUGGAGCCUGGCCAUUCCUGCUGCACCUAUUGCCACUCAUUAUGCAAGUGUAACUCUGACUGUUGCUCUGUGCCAAAACCCAACUUUGAAAUACCCAAACAAAUCCUGUCACCUGUCAAAUGCAGAAAUGUCACAUUGGAAGAGCAGGGACUGGUCAGACAGCUUUUGGAGGAGUAUAGGGAUAGCCUGAUUGCACUAGGUGAACACCUUUACACAAAUGCCUCAUUCUGCACUGGUUUCAGCAAUGUACUAAUUUACUCAGUUUUGGAAAGUCUUUGUGAUAUGACAUGACUUGUCAUGCAGAAUCUCCCUGUAUUUGACAUAAAACAUGGCCAGGACAUCCUACGCAUUGUUCACAAAGUAUUUAAAGAUUUUGAUGUGUGUGAAUUCCCUGACAUUCCUGAAAAACCAUACCUGUCACCAGACAUGGACUUUCCAGUGUAUUUUGAUGUUGAGGAUGAGGAUGCUGAAACCUCUCUAAGCAGCAUUGAGUCAGGCUUAUCCAUGCUUCCAUUAUCAGAUUAAGUACAGAGCCACUGUAAAUAAUUGUAAAUAACUGCACACUUGUAUAUAUAGUAAAUAUCAUUCUGAAUAAAUACUUUUUACAUUUUUAAACUA